UGCCGGUGUCAAACCGGAGGAAGGCGGGGAGGACGUCAAGUCCUCAUGGCCUUUAUGACCAGGGCUACACACGUACUACAAUGGCCGGUACAACGGGCAGCCACUUCGCAAGAAGGCGCUAAUCCCAGA
rnacentral:rRNA from 1 species